AUUGAUGAUUCUAGAAUCUCAGUGCUUUGGCUGGAGACUAGGAUUCAGAAAGGCCAUGAAGUAAAAACAACUAAAAUCAAAGCCAACUGUUUACAAUAGUUGACCUUGGAACAACGAGAAGCUUAGAGGCACCAGCCCUGCACAGUUGAAAAUCCACAUACAACAUCUGACUCCCCCCAAAUUUAACUACAAAUAGACUAGUGUUAACCAGAAGCUUUAAUAAUAAUACAAAAAUUCAAUUAA